AACUUCUUCUUCUUCUCUUCCAACAAAAAAGCAAGAAGUUAUGGACUCCUCCAAGAUCUCAGCUCUCCUCCUCAUUUGCAUGCUCUUCAUUUCCUCUGCCACCCCAAUUUUUGGCUGUGGUUCUUGCGGCAAGCCAAAACCAAAGCGCAAGGGCCACAAGGGAAAAUCUCCUAGGGGUCCCAUUACCAUUCCUCCCAUUGUCAAGCCUCCGAUCAACUUGCCACCAGUCAUCCCUCCUAUUGUCAAGCCACCAAUCACCAUCCCUCCCAUUGUGAAGCCGCCGGUGACUGUUCCUCCUAUCACUGUUCCUCCAGUGGUCACUAAGCCACCAAAGGGAGGUAGUACUCCAUGCCCACCACCACCAGGAGCUAAGGCUACAUGCCCAAUUGAUACCGUGAAACUGGGUGCCUGCGUGGAUCUUCUAGGUGGGUUAGUGCACAUUGGCCUUGGCGACCCAGUUGUGAACGAGUGCUGCCCAGUUCUUCAAGGACUUGUGGAGCUUGAAGCUGCAGUCUGCUUGUGCACCACUCUCAAGCUCAAGCUUCUCAACCUUAAUAUCUUUGUCCCCCUUGCUCUUCAACUCCUAGUUACCUGUGGCAAGACACCUCCUCCUGGUUACACCUGCUCUCUUUAGACAACCAAAGGUUGCCAGAAUCAUUGACGGAUGUUGAAAUCGACAUAAGAGUUUGUCGAGCCUCCUAUUUCUUUUUCUUUCUGUUUC
rnacentral:misc_RNA from 1 species